AACUAGCCCCGAUUGCAGCGGAAAUCCUUUUAUGGCGGGGUUCGCCAUAAAAGAUUGAAGUGAAAAGCGGGAAACCAU
rnacentral:sRNA from 2 species